rnacentral:misc_RNA from 1 species
AAGUCGUAACAAGGUUUCCGUAGGUGAACCUGCGGAAGGAUCAUUAAUGAAGAACAGAGUGCACUUUAUUGUGGCUCAACCCUUCACAUCCACUCACCCUGUGCAUUGUAAUACCUUUUUUUAACACUCCAAUAGUUAUUGAAUGUAACACUUUUAUAAAGUAAAUAAAACUUUCAACAACGGAUCUCUUGGCUCUC